rnacentral:lncRNA from 10 species
CUGCCACAGAGGGCUCCAGACCAUUCUAUAGCCCCAGCGGGAGAGGGAGGCAAGGUCGCCAGGCGGAUGGCAUGCUGAGAAACUGAGGCUCACAGAGGCCCCACCCCUUGCCAGGGGCCAUGGAUCCCCCUCACCCCCAGGGCAGCCUCUCCUCUGCCCUCCUCUGGGUCAGGCCCCUGCGCCUCCCCACUGCCCCAACAGCCUCUGCGUCCAGUCCCUGCCUCCUUCAAAACCCACUCCCAAGUCCAGCCCUGAGAGAAGGCGGUCUCAUCCCCAGUGGCAGGCACCCUGCCCGCCCAGUCGUCGGGAUCCUGGGGAGACAGCACUCCCACCUCAUCCUGCCACCCUGACAGCAUCCAGCUCCACCCAUCAGGCUAUUGGCCCAUUUCUCAUACAUGGGAACACCAGGCUGGCCCUUCGCCUGAAACCCCAUUCGAGGCAGCACCCGCCCUGCUGCUUCUGGCCAGGCCCAGUUAGUGUCAGCCUGGAGAGGACGGCCCUGACCCGCCGCUGUCCUCUAGCGGAAAAUCAGAAGAACAACAGCAGCACCCAGGAUUGAGCUCUGGUCUUGGACAGGCGCUAGGCUGAGACCCUCCUGUGCUUCCCCUCAGUGGGAGCACCCUGAGUGCACGUUCCUAAACCAACCCCUUCCAUGGAUGGGAGAGGGGCAUGGCUUGCCCAGGAAGUGGUGGGCUGGGCUUCAUCUGGCUCUCUCCAGUUGUGAGAUCCCCAGCCCUUAGGCAUACAGUAGUACUGCACUGAACGGCAGAGAACGUGCAUGGAUCUCUGCAGU